rnacentral:ncRNA from 1 species
UUUUUGGAGAGUUUGAUCCUGGCUCAGGACGAACGCUGGCGGCGUGCUUAACACAUGCAAGUCGAACGAAAAUACCAAGCUUGCUUGGUUGAUUAGUGGCGAACGGGUGAGUAACACGUGAGUAACCUGCCCCUUACU